ACAGAGGAGAUGACGCAGCGACAUUUAGUAAUCGUGUUCAUUGGGACGUUGCUCUUCACUACUAGCAACGCCCAGGGAAAAGACGGAGCCAACAAGAGGGCAAGGAGGUCGCUCCUGCCUUAUACAGUAACCCUCGGCGACGCGUCGCCAGUC